CCUACGGGGGGCAGCAGUGAGGAAUAUUGGUCAAUGGACGAGAGUCUGAACCAGCCAAGUAGCGUGAAGGAUGACUGCCCUAUGGGUUGUAAACUUCUUUUAUCUGGGAAUAAAACGUUCCACGUGUGGGAUUUUGUAUGUACCAUAUGAAUAAGGAUCGGCUAACUCCGUGCCAGCAGCCGCGGUAAUACGGAGGAUCCGAGCGUUAUCCGGAUUUAUUGGGUUUAAAGGGAGCGUAGGUGGAUUGUUAAGUCAGUUGUGAAAGUUUGCGGCUCAACCGUAAAAUUGCAGUUGAAACUGGCAGUCUUGAGUACAGUAGAGGUGUGCGGAAUUCGUGGUGUAGCGGUGAAAUGCUUAGAUAUCACGAAGAACUCCGAUUGCGAAGGCAGUUCACUGGACUGCAACUGACACUGAGGCUCGAAAGUGUGGGUAUCAAACAGGAUUAGAUACCCCUGUAGUC
rnacentral:rRNA from 1 species